AAAAAAAAAUUCAAAAUUUUUUUUUUUUAAAGUAUAAAAAAAAAAGUGAAAAGUCUUGUGAGUUUUAUUUUGUUUCUUGUUGCUUCCAAGCAUCCAUUCAUUCUACCAUUCCCUCUACCCCCCAAAACGCCACACAUACUUUGAUUUUUAUUUUCUUUGUUUAGCCUACCCUACACCCGACGUUAUCCCUUGUAACCCAUUUGAAGCCGACCCUCUAAGCCGCAAUAAGUCUUCUUGAAACAAAAUACGAAUUCACGAGAGUGAGACGAGCGGAAAAAGGCACGAGUGGUGAGUACAUUAGAGCGAGCAAAAGCCAUUAAACAAGUGUAAACACGAGUGGAGUGUUAUCCAAUUUUCUUUGUGAGUGAAACGUGAGAUUUUUGUGGUGAGGUA
rnacentral:lncRNA from 1 species